rnacentral:misc_RNA from 1 species
GAUGAAGAACGUAGCGAAAUGAGAUAAGUAGUGUGAAUUGCAGAAUUCAGUGAAUCAUCGAAUCUUUGAACGCACAUUGCGCCCUUUGGUAUUCCAAAGGGCAUGCCUGUUCGAGCGUCAUUUGUACCCUCAAGCUUUGCUUGGUGUUGGGCGUCUUGUCUCUAGCUUUGCUGGAGACUCGCCUUAAAGUAAUUGGCAGCCGGCCUACUGGUUUCGGAGCGCAGCACAAGUCGCACUCUCUAUCAGCAAAGGUCUAGCAUCCAUUAAGCCUUUUUUUCAACUUUUGACCUCGGAUCAGGUAGGGAUACCCGCUGAACUUAAGCAUAUCAAUAAGCGGAGGA